rnacentral:rRNA from 1 species
UACGUAGGUGACAAGCGUUGUCCGGAUUUACUGGGCGUAAAGAGCGCGCAGGCGGUCGUUCAAGUCGAGUGUGAAAGCCCACGGCUCAACCGUGGAGGGUCAUUGGAAACUGGGGGACUUGAGUGCAGGAGAGAAGAGUGGAAUUCCACGUGUAGCGGUGAAAUGCGUAGAGAUGUGGAGGAACACCAGUGGCGAAGGCGACUCUUUGGCUAACACUGACGCUCAGGCACGAAAGCGUGGGGAGCAAACAGG